rnacentral:lncRNA from 1 species
UUAUAAGCAAACCAGUAUAAAAUCAUUGUGUGGUUUUCAUUUUGAAAAAGCGCUUAUUUUUCCAAACAAUUCAAACCCCCCCUUUCUUGUUUUUCUCACCUUCAGACCUUACUUAAGUGUGUAAGAGGUGCGUCGAGAAAUGCAUCUCCAAAAACAGAGGACAUUUGUAAAAAUUCAUGUGGUGCAGUAAAAAGAUCUAACAUGCUUUAAGAAAUUCCCUAAAUUACUUUGAAAAAA